rnacentral:lncRNA from 1 species
AGAGGCUGAGCCCAUAAAGGCCAGCUCCCUUAUCUUUCACAGGGACUGGGUAAAGGCAGUUUCUUGUCUAGGUCUCCUUAUGCUGGACUGGCCAUAUGCCCCGUGAUUGUUGCAUUUUUGUCCUGAGCCUGUAAUAAGCCUAGAUUUUUUACCUUUGAUCCCUGUUUUCCUCAUGGACCAAGGCUGGGGACACUCUCUCUCUCUGAAAGGACCCAAUGGGAAAUUUCCAGCUCUGCUGAUGGUGAAAAAAUGAAAACAUUACAACGGGCAAAGCCAGCACUUCAAGCCAGGUCUCCUGAAAGGUUAGAAGUCAGUUCAUGCCUGAUCUCAGUUCUAACCAUUGACCUACCCUUGGAGUUUCAAGCAAGAGGGGAGUCGUGGCAUGUUUUCUCUGAGUUUCUGGGCUUCAGCUCUGCUGACUGUACUCAACCUCUGGGCCUGGGCUGGCUCAUCUUCCUUGCCUUAUUUCCUUUCUCCGAUACUCAAGAUGAGUUGAUUGAGCAGCCCUCAAGCCUUGUGACAGCAUUCAUUGGAGGUUCAGCAAUACUGCCUUGCAGAUUGAAAAGUGACCUCCCACCUGGGCCAGUGAGAUGGUAUAAGUCCCUAAUAAGGGGCUCAUCUUCAUUGACAAAAAGUCUAACUCCCGGGUCCAAAAUGUGAAUAACACAAACCGUAUCUCGGACAUCCGCAUAACCAACCUCACGAACCAGGAUGAAGGAGUCUACUAUUGUAUCAAGUUCAAGAAAAAUCCUGAAGAUGGAAUCAUCUCUGGGGGUGGCACCCGCCUUAUUGUAGGUAAGUACAAACCAGAGAAAGGCAAAGGAGUACAGGAGAAAGAGCACCAGAUUUGGACUAGGAGA